rnacentral:rRNA from 1 species
AACGAACGCUGGCGGCAUGCCUAGCACAUGCAAGUCGAACGAGAUCUUCGGGUCUAGUGGCGCACGGGUGCGUAACGCGUGGGAAUCUGCCCUUUGGUUCGGAAUAACAGUUGGAAACGACUGCUAAUACCGGAUGAUGACGAAAGUCCAAAGAUUUAUCGCCAGAGGAUGAGCCCGCGUAGGAUUAGCUAGUUGGUGUGGUAAGGGCGCACCAAGGCGACGAUCCUUAGCUGGUCUGAGAGGAUGAUCAGCCACACUGGGACUGAGACACGGCCCAGACUCCUACGGGAGGCAGCAGUGGGGAAUAUUGGACAAUGGGCGAAAGCCUGAUCCAGCAAUGCCGCGUGAGUGAUGAAGGCCUUAGGGUUGUAAAGCUCUUUUACCCGGGAUGAUAAUGACAGUACCGGGAGAAUAAGCUCCGGCUAACUCCGUGCCAGCCGCCGCGGUAA